UACGUAGGGUGCAAGCGGUAAUCGGAAUUACUGGGCGUAAAGCGUGCGCAGGCGGUUUUGUAAGUUUGUCGUGAAAGCCCCGGGCUCAACCUGGGAAUGGCGAUGAAGACUGCAAGGCUUGAAUCUGGCAGAGGGGGGUAGAAUUCCACGUGUAGCAGUGAAAUGCGUAGAGAUGUGGAGGAACACCGAUGGCGAAGGCAGCCCCCUGGGUCAAGAUUGACGCUCAUGCACGAAAGCGUGGGGAGCAAACAGG
rnacentral:rRNA from 1 species